GCCAGAGAAUGCACCUGUCCCUUGAGUCUUCUCAAAUUAUGCUUCACCAACAAAACCAAUACUUCAAUACAUUUGUUCCUUUACAGCUAGAAGUCACAUGGUAUGGGAGAAGGCUGAGGUCUCAGCUCUACCACCAAACCCUGUAGAAGCCAUUGGAUCAGCUGGAGAGCUGCUGUAUGCUUGGUGGAUUGACCAUAGGUUAUGAACACCACUGCCAGGGCAUAAGAUGCCUGGUCUUAAACCAGAGUCCCACAGGUCUAAGGACAAAAGGAAAACAUAGAUCCGCCCCUCAAAGUGAUUAUAAGACAAAACACACUGGGCAUCUACAAAUGGAUGAAUGAGCACACAGACACAGAG
rnacentral:lncRNA from 1 species